GCAGUCGUGGCCGAGUGGUUAAGGCGAUGGACUCGAAAUCCAUUGGGACCUCCCGCGCAGGUUCGAACUCUGUCGACCGAGCG